UCUCUCUCUCUCUCUCUCUCUCUCUCUCUCUCUCUCUCUCACACACACACACACACAGAGAGAGAGAGAGAGAGAGAGAGAGAGGGAGGGGGAGGGA